GACGAACGCUGGCGGCGUGCUUCACACAUGCAAGUCGAACGAAGUGGCAAACGGGUGAGUAACGCGUAAUCAACCUGCCCUUCAGAGGGGGACAACAGUUGGCAACGACUGCUAAUCCCGCAUACUGAAGGAGGGGAUUGCGUCUGAUUAGCGAGUUGGAGGGGUUACGGCCCACCAAGGCGAGGAUCAGUAGCCGGGGUGAGAGGGUGAACGGCCACAUUGGGACUGAGACACGGCACAGACUCGUACGGGAGGCAGCAGUGGGGAAUGUUCCGCAAUGGACGAAAGUCUGACGGAGCAACGCCGCGUGAGUGAUGACGGGCUGCGGGGUGUAAAGGUCUGUUAAUCGGGACGCGGUACCGGAAUAGAAAGCCACGGCUAACUACGGGCCAGCAGCCGCGGUAAUAC
rnacentral:rRNA from 1 species